CAAUUACUAAAUUAAAAGUGUAUCUUUUCACUCCAUUUUAUGACCGACAAAACUCAAUCUUUAAUGGUGCUAGGUGGGUCAAAAAGCUAUUGUUUCUUGCCUUCC